rnacentral:rRNA from 1 species
CGCUGGCGGCGUGCCUAACACAUGCAAGUCGAACGGAGUUGAGGAGCUUGCUCUUCAACUUAGUGGCGGACGGGUGAGUAACGCGUGAGUAACCUGCCUCUGAGAGGGGAAUAACGUUUUGAAAAGAACGCUAAUACCGCAUAACGUAUUGAAUCCGCAUGGAUAUGAUACCAAAGAUUUUAUCGCUCGGAGAUGGACUCGCGUCCGAUUAGUUAGUUGGUGAGGUAACGGCUCACCAAGACCGCGAUCGGUAGCCGGACUGAGAGGUUGAUCGGCCACAUUGGGACUGAGACACGGCCCAGACUCCUACGGGAGGCAGCAGUGGGGGAUAUUGCGCAAUGGGGGCAACCCUGAACCGCAGCAACGCCGCGUGAAGGAUGAAGGUUUUCGGAUUGUAAACUUCUUUUAUCAGGGACGAACAACGACGGUACCUGAUGAAUAAGCUCCGGCUAACUACGUGCCAGCAGCCGC